CGAAGGAUGCAAGCGUUAUCCGGGUUCAUUGGGUUUAAAGGGAGCGUAGGUGGCCUUAUAAGUCAGUGGUGAAAUCUCUAGGCUUAACCCAGAAAUUGCCAUUGAUACUGUAGGGCUUGAGUAUAGAUGCCGUUGGCGGAAUAUGACAUGUAGUGGUGAAAUACAUAGAGAUGUCAUAGAACACCGAUUGCGAAGGCAGCUAACGAAACUAUAACUGACACUGAGGCUCGAAAGUGUGGGGAUCAAACAGGAUUAGAUACCCUGGUAGUCCACACUGUAAACGAUGAUUACUCGCUGCUAGAGGGUAACUUUUAGUGGCUUAGCGAAAGCGAUAAGUAAUCCACCUGGGGAGUACGCCGGCAACGGUG
rnacentral:rRNA from 1 species